rnacentral:rRNA from 1 species
UACGUAGGGUGCGAGCGUUGUCCGGAAUUACUGGGCGUAAAGAGCUCGUAGGUGGUUUGUCGCGUUGUUCGUGAAAACUCACAGCUUAACUGUGGGCGUGCGGGCGAUACGGGCAGACUGGAGUACUGCAGGGGAGACUGGAGUUCCUGGUGUAGCGGUGGAAUGCGCAGAUAUCAGGAGGAACACCGGUGGCGAAGGCGGGUCUCUGGGCCGAUACUGACGCUGAGAAGCGAAAGCAUGGGGAGCGAACAGG